AACGCACCUUGCGCCCCUUGGCAUUCCGAGGGGCACACCCGUUUGAGUGUCGUGAAAUUCUCAAAAACCUUUCUUUUGUGAAAGGGUUUUGGACUUGGAGGCUUUUUGCUGGCUUCACCUUGAAGCGAGCUCCUCCCAAAUGAAUCAGUGGGGUCUGCUUUGCCGAUCCUUGACGUGAUAAGAUGUUACUACGUCUCGGGUUCGGCGAUGUCUCUUGGGCACCUGCUUCUAACCGUCUCAUCGACAAUGAUGGCGUUCCGGUCACCACCGUUUCGACGGUCGGGAGGCUUGACCCACCAAAAAAACCUUGACCUCAAAUCGGGUGAGACUACCCGCUGAACUUAA
rnacentral:misc_RNA from 4 species